ACAAUUUAUGGAAAGAACAAGGAAACUAGGUUUGAUUUCAUGGUAUUCCAAGACAUCGGUCCUUUGUACGUAAGUUCGGAGAAGACAAACCAGAUUCAAAUUUGAGGAGGGUGAUGUUUAAUUUACAAUGAACAAAUGGUAUUACCUUUAUUAUCUUCCCAUGGGAAAGGUUUUUGCAAAAUUGUACAUACAUGAAGGUAGACAGCAACCUUUUUCCACUGGCAGGUUGGACGAUAUCAAGAGGCUACAACCUUCCUUAUGAUCAGUUGCAAUUAUCAACAGUCAAAUGGCGACGUAAGUCGCUAUGGGAAAGUAUGACGUUCCUGUCUUAUGUAUAUUACUUUAAAUUUUCUCAUUCUGGAACAUAUUUUGAUUAGAGUUUCAAAUUUAGAGAGACUAGAUGGCUGUUAGCUUUCCAGUAAAGGUGAGUGUCCGUUGUGCAAAAUAAGUACACCCUCUGCUACUUAUGAUUGUGAAUAAAAAAUUGUUUUCAUUGUA
rnacentral:lncRNA from 1 species